UACGAAGGGGGCGAGCGUUGUUCGGAUUUACUGGGCGUAAAGGGCGCGCAGGCGGCUAUCCAAGUCAGGCGUGAAAGCCCCGGGCUUAACCUGGGAGGUGCGUCUGGGACUGGGUGGCUAGAGUUCGGGAGAGGAGAGUGGAAUUCCCAGUGUAGAGGUGAAAUUCGUAGAUAUUGGGAAGAACACCGGUGGCGAAGGCGGCUCACUGGCCCGAUACUGACGCUGAGGCACGAAAGCGUGGGGAGCAAACAGG
rnacentral:rRNA from 1 species